UAAAAAAUGUUCCGCCUCCCCAUGGAAAAAUUCCUGAGUCCACCACUAAGGGGAUGACUGGUCGCUUUAUACUGAAACCAAGGAUCACCAAAAAAAGUAGGAGACCAAUCCAGGAUCGCGGUCGGAUGUCAAGUCAAAAGUGUCCACGUGUACACAAGCUAGGUAUAAAUCAUGAGAAUCCCUUUAGUCAUGACUCCAUGAAGCGAUUGUAAAGCCAAUAGUUGAUGUCAUUGCAGAGCAUCAUCAUAUUUUGUUCAUAGGAGAAUGCGAUGGAUCAAAUGUUUUAAAGAUCGUAUAUCUUAAAAAAUGUACUUUAAUGUGUGAGUUCCUUAUUACAUCCUCUGGCGUCUACAGUUAACUAAAGAUCUGUGCCAGAAGUUCUUCUGGCGUGUCUCAUACCCCACUGGUCUAAAGUGAAUGUCACUCUAAUGAACCCAUGAUAUAACAAAACUAGUAAGCAUCAAAUGCCACGUUCCUUCACGUAUUCACCAUCAGUUUCUUUUGAUACAACUUUAGAAUGUAGACUAUAAAGCCUCCAUAUGUUGCCCCUCUUCUUAGUUACAUAAGAGACAAAUGCAUCACCACCCUAUUUACCAUCGGACAGAUGCAUCACUACUCUAUGUACCACCGUCGAUUCUAAACUUCCUUCUUUUAUGCAGUUAACUGUUGCAAGCUCCAUCACAAAUCUAUUGUUUGGUCGUUUUCUCGCGUUAUGCAUUACCCUCAGGUUUUCUAUUUAUAUUUUGGUAGAGGCGAUGACAAUGGCUGGCAGUGGCCCUGAUUAGAAGAUGAUAGUGGUACAUGAUGGCAGCAGUGGUCAGUGGGAGGUGGUCUGUUUGAAAGGUGAAGGAGGUGCAGGUGUGUGGCCGUGGGGUGGAAGAGAAGAUGGGUUUGUUUGAUUUACUAGGUUGUGAAAUGUGAAGAUCAUAUGUGCAGCAAUGAGGGGUGAAAUGACAUUAAUACCCUAACAUGCAUUGCAUGUGAGGGGUGUUAACGAGAAAAACAAACAUCGUUUGUGUGAAAGGUUGAUCCCUAUGUCAAAAUAUGAAGUUAAAGGUUGUUUUUGGCGAAUUUUAAU